rnacentral:rRNA from 1 species
UGGGGAAUAUUGGACAAUGGGGGCAACCCUGAUCCAGCAAUACCGCGUGUGUGAAGAAGGCCUUCGGGUUGUAAAGCACUUUAGUUGGGGAAGAAGACGUGUAGUUUAAGAGAUAAUACGUUUGACUGUACCCAAAGAAUAAGCACCGGCUAACUCUGUGCCAGCAGCCGCGGUAAUACAGAGGGUGCAAGCGUUAAUCGGAGUUACUGGGCGUAAAGGGCGCGUAGGUGGUUAUUUAAGUUGGAUGUGAAAGCCCUGGGCUUAACCUAGGAAUUGCAUACAAUACUGGAUAGCUAGAGUACUGUAGAGGGUAGUGGAAUUUCCGGUGUAGCGGUGAAAUGCGUAGAGAUCGGAAGGAACACCAGUGGCGAAGGCGGCUACCUGGACAGAUACUGACACUGAGGCGCGAGAGCGUGGGGAGCAAACAGGAUUAGAUACCCGGGUAGUC